UAAUGUCAGCAAGAGGGGUGAAUGCUUGAACAGCUGCCAUUUUCUUACAGAAAUAGUGAAGUGGUAAUGGUAAAGCUUUGAAAGAUUCCUAAAAAAUCAAAAGGAGAUUCAUGAUGGGCCUAAACAUAUUGUAAGCCCAACAGUCAUCUCCCAAUGACAUAAUCGGGUCAGCCAUAUUUAAAAAAACAGGAUCCGGCUGUAGGAUCCGGGAUCCGCAUCCCAACAGCGGGAAUAUUACAAUUUUACCCCUCCGCAUAUUUUUUUAUUUUGUCAUCAAAACUUUAAUUGUAAUGGCAUUCUCUUGUAAUUAUUUACAGAUUGUAAGGUUAUUUUUCAGGUAAUCCUUCCCAAUU